rnacentral:rRNA from 1 species
UACGUAGGGUGCGAGCGUUAAUCGGAAUUACUGGGCGUAAAGCGUGCGCAGGCGGUUCGUUAAGUCAGAUGUGAAAUCCCCGGGCUUAACCUGGGAACUGCGUUUGAAACUGAAAGGCUAGAGUGUGGCAGAGGGGGGUGGAAUUCCACGUGUAGCAGUGAAAUGCGUAGAGAUGUGGAGGAACACCGAUGGCGAAGGCAGCCCCCUGGGCUAACACUGACGCUCAUGCACGAAAGCGUGGGGAGCAAACAGG